UUGGCCUUUUGCCAUCCGGAAGCCCUAGCUGCUUCCACCCUGUUUCGCCUAGUUCACCUUUACUUAAUGGAUGAAGCGGGUAGCAAUGCUACCUUUUCUCGAAAAAAAAUAAGACUUUCGAAUUGAGGAUCGGUUCAGUUAGACUUGAUAUAGAAUAUUUAAAAUAUCUAGAAAAUAAAUCUCAUAAUUUUUCGACAUCAUAUAUUUAGCAAAUUGAGACAGCUCAAAAUCAUCAGCUGAAAAUAAAAAUCUCAUUAAAAGUAAUAGUAUAACACUAAAAUUUUAGAUCAAAAAUAAUAAUUUUAUUUUAUAUUAAUAUAAAUACUUUUCUAUCAAAAUUUUACGUAAUUUACAUAUGUUUAUAUGUUAAACUUGUAAACAGCUCAUCUUGACCAAUUAAAAUUAUUGAUUUUCAGCCUAUUUGUUGAUCAUCAGCUCAAUAAUACUGAAAAGUUAUAAAAUUUAUUUUUGGAUAUUUGAAACACUCUAGAUCAGAUUUAACGGAUCCGAUUGUUGAUUCGAAAAUCUUCGUACUUUCGAAAUUAUUCUAUCAUGAUUUUAAUUUUUAGAUACUUCGAAUACUCUAAUAAAUCAGUUCUGGCACGGUCGAUCGUAGAUUAAAAAAUUCUCAUCAUAAAACUAACUUAAAAACACAAAGCCACCGUUUGGUUGGAGGUUAAGGGGUGGAAUAACCCCUUAACCCCCAAUUUAUACCCAAACACCACUCUUAGCCACCGUUUGGUUGGGGGUUAAGGGGUGGAAUAACCCCUUAACCCCCAAUUUAUACCCAAACACCACUCUUUUGGGGUGGGGUUAGUAAACCCCACCCCAAACCGGGUUAGUGGGGUUUACUAACCCCACUCCCCCUCCCAACUUUAACCCCGCACGUAUCCCGAGCCCUCACCUUUUUCUUCUUUAUCAAUCAUUAACCCCACUCCCCCUCCCAACUUUAAUCCCGCACGCAUCCCGAGCUCUCACCUUUUUCUUCUUUAUCAAUCAUUAUCUUUUUAUCCCACCUACUCCAACCAAACACUUUUUUUCACUAUCCUAUACUAACUCCAACCUCCAACCAAACACAAAAAAAUUUUAACACCAUUUUAACCAUGAACUUAACCCUAUCCCUGGAAUAGCUACUUUUUCUUAACCCCGAACCAAACGGGGGCAAAGGGUUCAGUGCUUCAGAAAUCAUUCUAGCAUUAGCUCAAAUAGAUAUUACACAAUGAAUCCGGCUAUGACGUUUUUAAAAGCACCAAGCAGUUAGUGCUUGUAAAAAACUUUCUACCGUUAAAUCUACUCUACGAUUAUUAUCAUCCGUUAUAUCAUACUAUUUAACGAGCCGGUCACUCGCACAUUUCUUAAUCCGAGAGUCAAAAACCUACCAACCAACGCCAAAUUCACUACAC
rnacentral:lncRNA from 1 species